GACGUAUGGGGCGAGCGUUGUUCGGAAUUAUUGGGCGUAAAGGGCGUCUAGGCGGGGAAUUAAGUUAGGUGUGAAAGCCAUGAGCUCAACUCAUGAACUGCAUCUAAAACUGGUUCUCUUGAGUUCGGGAGAGGAGAGCGGAAUUCCCGGUGUAGCGGUGAAAUGCGUAGAUAUCGGGAAGAACACCAGUGGCGAAGGCGGCUCUCUGGCCUAGAACUGACGCUGAAGCGCGAAAGCGUGGGGAGCGAACGGG
rnacentral:rRNA from 1 species